rnacentral:rRNA from 1 species
GAAUUUUGGACAUUGGGCGAAAGCCUGAUCCAGCAAUGCCUAGUGCAGGCUGAUGUCUUUCGGGUUGUAAACUGCUUUUGUAUGGAAUGGAAAGCUUUUGGUUAAUUUCCUGGAUUCUUGACGGCAUCGUACGUAUAAGAAUCGGAUCUCUUCGUGCUCGCCGCCGCGGUAAUAGGUAGGGUGCAAGCGUUAAUCGGAAUUACUGGGCGUAAAGCGUGCGCAGGCGGUUUUGUAAGACAGGGGUGAAAUCCCCGGGCUCAACCUGGGAACUGCCUUUGUGACUGCAAGGCUAGAAUACGGCAGAGGGGGGUGGAAUUCCGCGUGUAGCAGUGAAAUGCGUAGAUAUGCGGAGGAACACCGAUGGCGAAGGCAACCCCCUGGGCCUGUACUGACGCUCAUGCACGAAAGCGCGGGGAGCAAACA